GGCUCAGAUUGAACGCUGGCGGAAUGCCUUACACAUGCAAGUCGAACGGCAGCACGGGAGCAAUCCUGGUGGCGAGUGGCGAACGGGUGAGUAAUAUAUCGGAACGUGCCCAGUCGUGGGGGGAUAACGUAGCGAAAGCUACGCUAAUACCGCAUACGAUCUACGGAUGAAAGCGGGGGAUCGCAAGACCUCGCGCGAUUGGAGCGGCCGAUAUCAGAUUAGGUAGUUGGUGGGGUAAAGGCUCACCAAGCCAACGAUCUGUAGCUGGUCUGAGAGGACGACCAGCCACACUGGAACUGAGACACGGUCCAGACUCCUACGGGAGGCAGCAGUGGGGAAUUUUGGACAAUGGACGCAAGUCUGAUCCAGCCAUUCCGCGUGCAGGAUGAAGGCCCUCGGGUUGUAAACUGCUUUUGUACGGAACGAAAAGGUUUCUCUUAAUACGAGGAGCUCAUGACGGUACCGUAAGAAUAAGCACCGGCUAACUACGUG
rnacentral:rRNA from 1 species